rnacentral:rRNA from 1 species
UACGUAGGGUGCGAGCGUUAAUCGGAAUACUGGGCGUAAAGCGUGCGCAGGCGGUUAUGUAAGACAGAUGUGAAAUCCCCGGGCUCAACCUGGGAAACUGGCAUUUGUGACUGCAUGGCUAGAGUACGGUAGAGGGGGAUGGAAUUCCGGCGUGUAGCAGUGAAAUGCGUAGAUAUGCGGAGGAACACCGAUGGCGAAGGCAAUCCCUGGACCUGAUACUCGACGCUCAUGCACGAAAGCGUGGGGAGCAAACAGGAUUAGAAUACCCCUGGUAGUCC